rnacentral:rRNA from 1 species
AACGAACGCUGGCGGCGUGGAUAAGACAUGCAAGUCGAACGGGAACUUCAGCUGUAGCAAUACAGUUGAAGUUUUAGUGGCGAACGGGUGCGUAACACGUGGGCAAUCUGCCGAGAAGUGGGGGAUAGCUCGCCGAAAGGCGAAUUAAUACCGCAUAUGAUCAGCUAAGACAUCUUAGCGACAUCAAAGCCGGGGCAACCUGGCGCUUUUUGAGGAGCCCGCGGCCUAUCAGCUAGUUGGUGAGGUAACGGCUCACCAAGGCUAUGACGGGUAGCUGGUCUGAGAGGACGACCAGUCACACUGGAACUGAGACACGGUCCAGACACCUACGGGUGGCAGCAGUCGAGAAUUUUUCUCAAUGGGCGAAAGCCUGAAGGAGCGACGCCGC